rnacentral:rRNA from 1 species
GAUGAACGCUGGCGGCGUGCCUAAUACAUGCAAGUCGAGCGGACCAAAGAGAGCUUGCUCUCUGAGGUUAGCGGCGGACGGGUGAGUAACACGUGGGUAACCUGCCUGUAAGACGGGGAUAACUUCGGGAAACCGAAGCUAAUACCGGAUGAUAAAGAGAAACGCCUGUUUCUUUUUUGAAAGUCGGCCUUGUGCUGACGCUUACAGAUGGGCCCGCGGCGCAUUAGCUAGUUGGUGAGGUAACGGCUCACCAAGGCGACGAUGCGUAGCCGACCUGAGAGGGUGAUCGGCCACACUGGGACUGAGACACGGCCCAGACUCCUACGGGAGGCAGCAGUAGGGAAUCUUCGGCAAUGGACGAAAGUCUGACCGAGCAACGCCGCGUGAGCGAUGAGGGCCUUCGGGUCGUAAAGCUCUGUUGUCAGAGAAGAACAAGUACCGGAGUAACUGCCGGUACCUUGACGGUACCUGACCAGAAAGCCACGGCUAACUACGUGCCAGCCGCCGCGGUAA